AACGUAGGUUCCGAGCGUUAUCCGGAUUUACUGGGCGUAAAGCGCGUUUAGGCGGUUUGGCAAGUCGGGCAUGAAAUCUCUCGGCUCAACCGGGAGAGGUUGUCCGAUACUUCCAGACUUGAGGGCAGUAGAGGGUGGUGGAAUUCCGGGUGUAGUGGUGAAAUGCGUAGAUAUCCGGAGGAACACCGGUGGCGAAGGCGGCUUCCUGGACCGACACUGACGCUGAGGCGCGAAAGCUAGGGGAGCAAACGGG
rnacentral:rRNA from 1 species